UACGGGGGGGGGCAAGCGUUGUUCGGAAUUACUGGGCGUAAAGGGCUCGUAGGCGGCCAACUAAGUCGGAUGUGAAAUCCCCAGGCUCAACCUGGGAACUGCAUCCGAUACUGGAUGGCUUGAAUUCGGGAGAGGGAUGCAGAAUUCCAGGUGUAGCGGUGAAAUUCGUAGAUAUCGGGAGGAACACCGGCGGCGAAGGCGGCUGCCUGGACCAGUCCUGACGCUGAGGCGCGAAAGCUAGGGGAGCAAACAGG
rnacentral:rRNA from 1 species